rnacentral:rRNA from 1 species
UUUGCAUCGAUGAAGAACGCAGCUAACUGCGCGUCAUAGUGUGAACUGCAGGACACAUUUGAACAUCGACAUUUCGAACGCACAUUGCGGUCCGUGGAGAAAUAUCCAGGACCACUCCUGUCUGAGGGCCGGCUGUUAAAAUAUAAAAAUCACACUGUUCACAAUUAAAAUUAAUUGUGAAGAAUUGACGGGUUCCGUUAUGAUUUCGUUUUAAACGACGUUCUCACACGGUCCGUUUAAAUAUAAUUCGAUAACCGAUCGUCUAUAUAGUAUGCGUAUAUAAUUGAAACGCGUUACAACAACACAAAACGAUCGGGCGUCCCUCGGACGCGCGACUCUUCGACGUAAAAAAUCGACAGAGGGCAUGCGCGUCUUUAGACGGUGACGUUUACCGUAUCGUUGUUGUAGUAACGUAUAUAUACAUAUAUAAAUAGACAUAUUCGGGUAGGCGGACUCGACGUCCGAAGAGCGCAUCGAUGCUACGUUGCUCUCUCGUUUAUCAACGAGACGAGUCAACGGAGUGUCGUUGAGCUGACGGAUAUCGCGUCUGCCUCGAUUUUUAUCGUUGGCCUCAGAUCAGGGAGGAUCACCCGCCGAAUUUAAGCAUAUC